AACGAACGCUGGCGGCAUGCCUAACACAUGCAAGUCGAACGAGACCUUCGGGUCUAGUGGCGCACGGGUGCGUAACGCGUGGGAAUCUGCCCUUUGCUUCGGAAUAACAGUUAGAAAUGACUGCUAAUACCGGAUGAUGUCUUCGGACCAAAGAUUUAUCGGCAAAGGAUGAGCCCGCGUAGGAUUAGGUAGUUGGUGGGGUAAAGGCCUACCAAGCCGACGAUCCUUAGCUGGUCUGAGAGGAUGAUCAGCCACACUGGGACUGAGACACGGCCCAGACUCCUACGGGAGGCAGCAGUGGGGAAUAUUGGACAAUGGGCGCAAGCCUGAUCCAGCAAUGCCGCGUGAGUGAUGAAGGCCUUCGGC
rnacentral:rRNA from 1 species